GGUGCCAUCCAGGCUUCACCUUGGAUCUACCCCAUUGCCACCAACUGGCCUGGUGACCUGGACUGUCCAGCUCCUUCACCCUGGUUGAUGAGACAACUGACAGCAGAGCUACUUGCUCAAGUCAGUGUAAGAAAUAUCAUCCUUGAGCCCUGGAGGAGUUCAAACAGCAGCGCCGAUCGUCACGUUGGGCAGCAAAAUCCUGGGCUCAGCAGUGUCUUCAUCCCUUGUGUGGGUCUGCGAGGACUUGCUGGCUGCUGCUUCCUGACACGUCUCAUUUUGAGUGAUGAAAACCCAUUGCCCAAUUCAUGAACUCCAUAAAACCAGGCAUUUAUAUGAUGUAUAUUUAUAGGAGCUGUUGUAAUCACUCUUGAUAUUAAUAACUUUUUCCAAGACAAAUGGUCCUGAGGAUCAGUGUCUGUGGUGGUGAUGGGUAGGUGUAUUUUAAGGUGGCAAAGAGCUGGCGUUAUAGGAUUAUGGCAGUGAUUGGUUGCCCUGUUUAUUGUUCRGAUAAGUACAUAUGCAUGAAUAACUAUGUAUUUCAUCAUUCUUCUGUUGCUAUUGUGAAAAAGGCACUUGGGUCAGGGCAUUUUUGUGUAAAUACAUAUAGCCUUCAAGGGAAUACUUGUAUGGAUACAGGUUAGUUAAGCAAUUCUUUGCUGUUUUUAGUUGUGCGAAACAGUAUGGCUAUAGAAUUUGUAUUGAGCGGUGAGUGAGGACAUCUGUGUAACAAUUCUGAU